GGAGAGCUAACUGCAUGCACUCCUGGCUCAAUUCCCCUAACCAAAAAGAAAACAAUCAAAAAUAAUUCCAUUACACAAACUCAAAUACUGCCCACACCAAGUGAUCAGAAUUCAUGUUCCAGACAAGAAGAUCUAAUUUUACUAAGCAGAAUUUCACUACACUAAGAAAUGAGGGAUGAUAUGUCAACAUUUUAAAUUAAAUCUCACCUGGAUCGGUAAGCUGCAAGUGUCGCAGCACUGGGUGAAGUAAGCUGAGUGAGUAUUGCUCCUUGCAAGUAUGUUUUAGAACCAGAAGUCAGAGUAUCCUUGGUUCCAAAAUGUACCAUAGCACUUGGUACACACCCAGCAUCAAAAAGUCUCAUUUCAGGCGUUAGAAUAUUUUUGGGAGGAGUGGUAUCUACAAGAUUUAGAAAGAAUACACAACUACUAGAAGAGAUUAGUUUUACAGAAUCUAUUAUGGAGAAAAUCAUCUCAGUUCAUAGACUCAUAAUUAAGUAAUCAGUUAAUGCUUCAGUUUGGUGCAUUCUGCUGAAUUUGGACAAGACAAGGAUCUGUUUCUUGUAUUUGGACAUACUGCAUUGCAUACAUAAGCCUAAUACAGUCAGUAAUGUUAGAUCAAACCAUUCUACAUUGAUACAAGUUGCACAGGGUGUUACUUAUCCCAUAAAUAAUUCAGAUCAAAUCCAUGAGCCCAUAUUCUUUGAGACUAUUUCCAACAAACAGAUGGUCAUUUACAAGCUCUGUUCUUUCACAUCCAAGACAGUGUAACAUAUGUUCAGGAAAAGCUAGUUUAACAACAAUAAAUCUAAAAGGCCAAAUUUAGAAUUUCAACAUGAAAUGUAUUUUUAAAGAAAUGCAGAGCUCAUUAAAUUAUUUUAAAAAGUACUCACAAAGAUGGAAUUCAGUCUUCGGGUCUUCCAGAUGGCUUCUAACAAAAUCCAUGACAGUUGAAAUAGUUUCAAGAGGCAAAAAUAUCCCCUGGAGAACUGUACGGUCAGGAAAAUGGAUUCGGAUUACAGCUCGACGGUACUGAUUCAACAGAGACAGCACUCGCUUAGACUCUUCUAGACUUCUCUGUGCACUUGUAACAAGUGAUGUCUCUUCCAUUUCUUCUCUGUUAAUAAAGUAAUGUAUAUACCAUUAAAAUAUAUCAUAUUCACAAUACUGUAUGUGAUUAAUUGUAUGGUUAAGAAGUAGGACAUUAUAACAAAGACGAAUUAAAAACUUACAGGAGGAAAAGGAUGAUGUGUUAAGUAACCUUAAUAUGUUAAAAACCAAUAUAUUUGAUGUUCUUUAUAUCA